GAUGAACGCUAGCUACAGGCUUAACACAUGCAAGUCGAGGGGCAGCAUUUUAGUUGCUUGCAAACUAAAGAUGGCGACCGGCGCACGGGUGAGUAACACGUAUCCAACCUGCCGAUAACUCGGGGAUAGCCUUUCGAAAGAAAGAUUAAUAUCCGAUAGUAUAUUAAAACCGCAUGGUUUUACUAUUAAAGAAUUUCGGUUAUCGAUGGGGAUGCGUUCCAUUAGUUUGUUGGCGGGGUAGCGGCCCACCAAGACUACGAUGGAUAGGGGUUCUGAGAGGAAGGUCCCCCACAUUGGAACUGAGACACGGUCCAAACUCCUACGGGAGGCAGCAGUGAGGAAUAUUGGUCAAUGGACGAGAGUCUGAACCAGCCAAGUAGCGUGAAGGAUGACUGCCCUAUGGGUUGUAAACUUCUUUUAUAUGGGAAUAAAGUAUUCCACGUGUGGGAUUUUGUAUGUACCAUAUGAAUAAGGAUCGGCUAACUCCGUG
rnacentral:rRNA from 1 species